AAAAAUCAACAAAAUUACAGAGACUAAAGUUGCUGCUUCAAUUUGAGAGUGCUACAACAAAACUAGUUUCUCUCUCUUCAUCAUCGUCAAAAGCUGUUCUUCCCCAAUUUGCGAGAUCGAGAAACGGAUGCGAAUUCAUAAUACACCCACUUUUGGCUACAAAUAAUAUUAUUUUCCAGCACCGAAUAUGCGUCGGAAUCACACCGUCUUGUUGGAGGAAUAAAAAAUAAUCAAAGGGUCGAUUCUCAACGUCGUUGCCUGUACAAUAAUCUUGAGAGAGAAACCCACAAGAUUUACUCGCUUCUCUCUCUAUGACAAUUUGGGUAAUAAUUUCUUGCUGCUAUAGGUGAUGAAAUGAUGGGGAUGAAGAAGUUGGGGUAAUAACUGAUGAAAGGAUGGGGAAGAAGAACAAUGAGGGGAAAAAGAACAGGAGAAUUUC
rnacentral:lncRNA from 1 species